AUGUACCACUCGUACACUCCGGUUCCUGCGCGCCGUCCGCGCCCACCUGACGGCUGCUCGCUACGUUUUGUUAGCC
rnacentral:sRNA from 2 species